ACGCUGGCGGCGUGCUUAACACAUGCAAGUCGAACGAGAAUCUAAUGACGGAGUUUUCGGACAACUGAUUUAGAGGACAGUGGCGGACUGGUGAGUAACGCGUGAGGAACCUGCCUUUCAGAGGGGGACAACAGUUGGAAACGACUGCUAAUACCGCAUGACGCAUUUUGAUCGCAUGGUCGGAAUGCCAAAGAUUUAUCGCUGAAAGAUGGCCUCGCGUCUGAUUAGAUAGUUGGCGGGGUAACGGCCCACCAAGUCGACGAUCAGUAGCCGGACUGAGAGGUUGACCGGCCACAUUGGGACUGAGAUACGGCCCAGACUCCUACGGGAGGCAGCAGUGGGGAAUAUUGGGCAAUGGGCGCAAGCCUGACCCAGCAACGCCGCGUGAAGGAAGAAGGCUUUCGGGUUGUAAACUUCUUUUAAGUGGGAAGAGCAGAAGACGGUACCACUUGAAUAAGCCACGGCUAACUACGUG
rnacentral:rRNA from 1 species